rnacentral:rRNA from 1 species
GACGAACGCUGGCGGCGUGCUUAACACAUGCAAGUCGAACGGAAAGGCCCUGCUUUUGUGGGGUGCUCGAGUGGCGAACGGGUGAGUAACACGUGAGUAACCUGCCCUUGACUUUGGGAUAACUUCAGGAAACUGGGGCUAAUACCGGAUAGGAGCUCCUGCUGCAUGGUGGGGUUGGAAAGUUUCGGCGGUUGGGGAUGGACUCGCGGCUUAUCAGCUUGUUGGUGGGGUAGUGGCUUACCAAGGCUUUGACGGGUAGCCGGCCUGAGGGUGACCGGCCACAUUGGGACUGAGAUACGGCCCAGACUCCUACGGGAGGCAGCAGUGGGGAAUAUUGCACAAUGGGCGGAAGCCUGAUGCAGCAACGCCGCGUGCGGGAUGACGGCCUUCGGGUUGUAAACCGCUUUCGCCUGUGACGAAGCGUGAGUGACGGUAAUGGGUAAAGAAGCACCGGCUAACUACGUG